rnacentral:rRNA from 1 species
GACGAACGCUGGCGGCGUGCCUAAUACAUGCAAGUCGAACGCUUCUUUCCUCCCGAGUGCUUGCACUCAAUUGGAAAGAGGAGUGGCGGACGGGUGAGUAACACGUGGGUAACCUACCCAUCAGAGGGGGAUAACACUUGGAAACAGGUGCUAAUACCGCAUAACAGUUUAUGCCGCAUGGCAUAAGAGUGAAAGGCGCUUUCGGGUGUCGCUGAUGGAUGGACCCGCGGUGCAUUAGCUAGUUGGUGAGGUAACGGCUCACCAAGGCCACGAUGCAUAGCCGACCUGAGAGGGUGAUAGGCCACACUGGGACUGAGACACGGACCAGACUCCUACGGGAGGCAGCAGUAGGGAAUCUUCGGCAAUGGACGAAAGUCUGACCGAGCAACGCCGCGUGAGUGAAGAAGGUUUUCGGAUCGUAAAACUCUGUUGUUAGAGAAGAACAAGGACGUUAGUAACUGAACGUCCCCUGACGGUAUCUAACCAGAAAGCCACGGCUAACUACGUG